rnacentral:rRNA from 1 species
UACGGGGGGGGGCAAGCGUUGUUCGGAAUUAUUGGGCGUAAAGGGCUCGUAGGCGGUCUGUUGCGUCGGGAGUGAAAACUUACAGCUUAACUGUGAGCGUGCUUCCGAUACGGGCAGACUAGAGGUAUGCAGGGGAGAACGGAAUUCCUGGUGUAGCGGUGAAAUGCGCAGAUAUCAGGAGGAACACCGGUGGCGAAGGCGGUUCUCUGGGCAUUACCUGACGCUGAGGAGCGAAAGUGUGGGGAGCGAACAGG